AUACGUAGGGGGCGAGCGUUGUCCGGAAUGAUUGGGCGUAAAGGGCGCGUAGGCGGCCCGGUAAGUCUGGAGUGAAAGUCCUGUUUUUAAGAUGGGAAUUGCUUUGGAUACUGUCGGGCUUGAGUGCAGGAGAGGUAAGUGGAAUUCCCAGUGUAGCGGUGAAAUGCGUAGAGAUUGGGAGGAACACCAGUGGCGAAGGCGACUUUCUGGACUUUAACUGACGCUGAGGCGCGAAAGGGUGGGGAGCAAACAGGAUUAGAUACCCUGGUAGCCCACACUGUAAACGAUGAAUGCUAGGUGUAGGGGGUAUCGACCCCUUCUGUGCCGCAGUCAACACAAUAAGCAUUCCGCCUGGGGAGUACGGCCUCAAGGUUGAAACUCAAAGGAAUUGGCGGGA
rnacentral:rRNA from 1 species